GGGAUCACGGUUAUCAGGCGAAAGAUCUCAACAUCAGAGAUCUCCGUCAAUUGAUAUGGCCGAAUCUCAACCGCAACCACCAACGCAGGUUACAAUUGAUAACGUGGCUGAGGUAUUAGAUAAUCCUGCAAGAAUUUUGUUACCGAAACUGGAUCCGAUAAAAAAUCCAGGAACAAAAUGGUUUGGUGUUGAUGUUGAGAUAACCACCAAUUUAUCAAAAUUCAUCAAACAGAAUUUUAAAGGUGCUUAUCUUAAUUGGAGUACGAUCCCACAACCUACCAAAGAUUCGUGGUGGUUAAGUUUUGUGCAACAAUGGCGUUGGGAUCCUGAGCAUGACGCACUUGUUCGGCGCAAGUGGAAGGAGGCUGUAAUUCGUCUAGUGAAAGCCAGAGUUCACAAACUCAAACAAAAAUGGCUU